rnacentral:rRNA from 1 species
AUUGAACGCUGGCGGCAGGCUUAACACAUGCAAGUCGAGCGGAUGAGAGGAGCUUGCUUCUCGAUUCAGCGGCGGACGGGUGAGUAAUGCCUAGGAAUCUGCCUGGUAGUGGGGGACAACGUUUCGAAAGGAACGCUAAUACCGCAUACGUCCUACGGGAGAAAGCAGGGGACCUUCGGGCCUUGCGCGCUCAGAGUAGCCUAGGUCGGAUUAGCUAGUUGGUGAGGUAAUGGCUCACCAAGGCGACGAUCCGUAACUGGUCUGAGAGGAUGAUCAGUCACACUGGAACUGAGACACGGUCCAGACUCCUACGGGAGGCAGCAGUGGGGAAUAUUGGACAAUGGGCGAAAGCCUGAUCCAGCCAUGCCGCGUGUGUGAAGAAGGUCUUCGGAUUGUAAAGCACUUUAAGUUGGGAGGAAGGGUUGUAGAUUAAUACUCUGCAAUUUUGACGUUACCGACAGAAUAAGCACCGGCUAACUCUGUGCCAGCAGCCGCAGUAACAC